GGUUGCCUACGGGGGGCAGCAGUGAGGAAUAUUGGUCAAUGGGCGAGAGCCUGAACCAGCCAAGUCGCGUGAGGGAGUACUGCCCUAUGGGUUGUAAACCUCUUUUGUCGGAGAACAAAACCCGGGACGUGUCCCGGACUGCGUGUAUCCGAAGAAAAAGCAUCGGCUAACUCCGUGCCAGCAGCCGCGGUAAUACGGAGGAUGCGAGCGUUAUCCGGAUUUAUUGGGUUUAAAGGGUGCGUAGGCGGUCUGUUAAGUCAGCGGUAAAAUUGCGGGGCUCAACCCCGUCGAGCCGUUGAAACUGG
rnacentral:rRNA from 1 species